rnacentral:tRNA from 4 species
AGGGGCGUCGCCAAGUUGGUAAGGCAUCAGGUUUUGAUCCUGACAUUCGUUGGUUCGAGUCCAGCCGCCUCUGCCA